rnacentral:rRNA from 1 species
AACGCGAAGAACCUUACCUGGGCUCGAACGGCUAUUGAUCGGUGGUAGAAAUAUCGCCUUUCCCGCAAGGGACUGUAGUCGAGGUGCUGCAUGGCUGUCGUCAGCUCGUGUCGUGAGAUGUUGGGUUAAGUCCCGCAACGAGCGCAACCCUUGUCCUGUGUUGCUAACCCCUUAAAAGGUGCACUCUCAGGAGACCGCCAGCGAUAAGCUGGAGGAAGGUGGGGAUGACGUCAAGUCAUCAUGGCCUUUAUGUCCAGGGCUACACACGUGCUACAAUGGGCGGUACAAAGCGUUGCCAACCCGCGAGGGGGAGCUAAUCGCAAAAAACCGCUCUCAGUUCGGAUUGCAGGCUGCAACUCGCCUGCAUGAAGCUGGAAUCGCUAGUAAUGGCGUAUCAGAACGACGCCGUGAAUACGUUCCCGGGCCUUGUA